GGCGAGUGGCGAACGGGUGAGUAAUAUAUCGGAACAUACCCAGUAGUGGGGGAUAACUAUCCGAAAGGAUAGCUAAUACCGCAUACGAUCUGUGGAUGAAAGCAGGGGAUCUUCGGACCUUGUGCUAUUGGAAUGGCCGAUAUCUGAUUAGCUAGUUGGUAGGGUAAAAGCCUACCAAGGCGACGAUCAGUAGCUGGUCUGAGAGGACGACCAGCCACACUGGAACUGAGACACGGUCCAGACUCCUACGGGAGGCAGCAGUGGGGAAUUUUGGACAAUGGGGGCAACCCUGAUCCAGCAAUGCCGCGUGAGUGAAGAAGGCCCUCGGGUUGUAAAGCUCUUUUGUCAGGGAAGAAACGGAGUUCUCUAAUAUAGGAUUCUAAUGACGGUACCUGAAGAAUAAGCACCGGCUAACUACGUGCCAGCAGCCGCGGUAAUACGUAGGGUGCAAGCGUUAAUCGGAAUUACUGGGCGUAAAGCGUGCGCAGGCGGUUUUGUAAGUCUGAUGUGAAAUCCCCGGGCUCAACCUGGGAACUGCAUUGGAGACUGCAAGGCUAGAGUGUGUCAGAGGGGGGUAGAAUUCCACGUGUAGCAGUGAAAUGCGUAGAGAUGUGGAGGAAUACCGAUGGCGAAGGCAGCCCCCUGGGAUAACACUGACGCUCAUGCACGAAAGCGUGGGGAGCAAACAGGAUUAGAUACCUUGGUAGUCCACGCCCUAAACGAUGUCUACUAGUUGUCGGGACUUAAUUGUCUUGGUAACGCAGCUAACGCGUGAAGUAGAC
rnacentral:rRNA from 1 species